rnacentral:lncRNA from 1 species
GUCAUGUUUAUACUAUAUGGUUCCCUCUAUAGUCAUGUUUUAGACUAUAUGGGUUCCCUCUAUAGUCAUGUUUAUACUAGGGUCCCUCCUAUGUCCAGUGUUUAGACUAUAGGGUCCCUCUAUAGUCAUGUUUAUACUAUAUGUUCCUCUAUAGUAAUGUUUAUACUAUAUGGUUCCCUCCUAUAGUCGGUUAAGUAUGGUUCCCUCUAUAGUCAUGUUUAACUAUAUGGUUCCCUCUAUAGUCAUGUUUAUACUAUUGGUCCCUCUAUAGUCUGUUUAACUAUAUGGUUCCCUCUUAGUCAUGUUUAUACUAUAUGUUCACUCUAUAGUCGGUUAUACUAUAUGGUUCUAUAUCAGGUUUAUACUAUAUGGUUCCCUCUAUAGUCAUGUUUAUACUAUAUGGUUCCCUCUAUCAUGUUACUAUAUAGGUUCUUAUAGUCUGUUAUAUAUAUGGUUCCCUCUAUAGUCAUGUUUAUACUAUUACGGUCCCUCUAUAGUCAUGUUUAUACUAUAUGGUUCUAUAGUCAUGUUUAUACUAUAUGGUUCCCUCUCUAUAGUCAUGUUUCUACUAUAUGGUUCCCUCUCUAUAGUCAUGUUUAUACUAUAUGGUUCCCUCUAUAGUCAUGUUUAUACUAUAUGGUUCUAUAAUCAUGUUUAUACUAUAUGGUUCUAUAGUCAUGUUUACACUAUGGUUCCCUCUAUAGUCAUGUUUAUACUAUAUGGUUCCUUUUCAAUAAUUAUAAUAAUAAUAUUUAUUUAUUAUGGACCCUAUUUACCUUCAUAUUACCCUGUCUGAUUUAGCUGGUUUGCAGUGUGUCGUCAUCAGUAUGUUGAAUGAAUCAUACAAUUAAAACCUAUUUCUACUGAGUUAUAUAAAACAGUUAUAUUUUCACACUUCUUCAAUCUGAUAUGAAGGGUGUAUCUCAAUCUUAAAUGGUGUCCCCUCUCCUUGCUUCCUUCCCUUCAUCAGCACUGAUAUGAAACAACGAGUGGCAAAAUCAGGUUCCCUGGGACCCAACAUGCAGCUCUUGCAUCUGAAUUAAGACGCUUCCCUUUGUCUGUCUACUUACUACAUCAUGGGCCAUCGGUCUUUCUCUUUGGUCUCUCCUGUCAGAUGGGAUUGGCUGGAGCUGGGGUGGUUAAGCAUCAGAGGGCAGGUCAGAGGGGAUGGUGAGGGUGUGUAGCAGGAGGUGGACAGUGGUGGUGGCGGGGGGGAACCAGAGAGGGCGUUCAGGGAAGACUUCAGAGUCUCACAGGCUGCAACAAUCACCUACAUGACAGGGAGGAGGGGAGGCUAGGGUUGGCAAUGCUUGCUUUUUUGGCCAUAGCGCCGCAAAACAAUAAAACCAAAACCUAGCUCGUCUUUGAGCCUUUCUACACAGGUCUUCCGGUCCCUCUCAGCUACCGGACAGCUAAGCUGUUUACCGGCAUAUCCAACAAAAGAAAACAGAAAUCCAACAGGCUUAAUCUUACUGGGGUCAGGUCUAGGGCCAAAUAACAUCCGGUAGGUUCCUGUCCAGUUGGGUUCGAGAUCCCUCCCAGCGUUGGAGGGCUUUGUAUGUCAGCUCUUGCUGCUCCAAGCCAAAAACAGAUCUGGCUAAAGCCAGGCAAAAAAUAAUUAAUAACACCACCCAACCUCCAAGCUAAGCUUUAUUCUGGUGUGUGUCAUUAGGCUCUUACCCUUCCAGGCCUACCUCUCUUCUGGCCAGCAGAUGUCGCCAACGAGCAGGAAUAGAACGGCCUUCACACACCCACCCUUUCAGUCCAUCACAAUGGUGAAAUGCGCACACAGUGGACACAUAUUUUUG